ACAGUCAUAAUUACCCCAUGGACAUGGAAGCUGUUGAUCCACAUUUCAGGGAGUACCAGCAGAAGAAGCUUUUGGGAAUCCUGAUGCAACUGUCCAGGUUCAGCAACAAAAGACUCAAGGAUGCAAGAGGAUUCUUGAGAACUGAAGGACAGGCAGCUGAGAGAUACUCAAAAAUCAUUUGGUGGAACAAUAGAUUUCUUCAAGAAACCGGUGAGAAGAUUGGUACAGAUGUUAUGAAUUGCACCUCCAAGCUCAUCUAAGCCUGAAUGCACUGACACUACUGACAACUCUGCCCCUUCUUUGAUAGAACGAGUCUCACAAUUCCAGGACAAAUUCAUUCAUUUCCUCUGUUAUCUCUGCCUCUCCUGUCAUCACUUCUUCCCGAGUCCAAGGGGAAAGGUUUUCACUGGCAGGUGAGAGCAUCUUAUUUAAACUCAUCUCUGGCUGUCAUAGCUGCUGCUCAAGGCUCUUCCUGCAGCAGCCUUGGAUUCUUGCAGCUUUUCCUUA